GAGCCCAUUCCACGUGGAGGGAUACUCCCUGAGCUUAGAUAAAUGGGGGUGUGCCUAGGCUUUAUACCAAAGGAUAUGAAGACCUCCUAUGGAAGUCCUCAUCCUUCCUGCGGAGCAGAAAGUGUAUAUAAUAUGUAGGGUGUUAGUUCAGGGGGCAGGAGAGGAGAGGAGCAAAAGGGACCUGGGAUUGAUAUUUAAAAUAAUAUUCUUUCUAAUUAAAAUAAAAUUAAGAAAAAAUAGAGUUGAUAUUGAAACAGAAUUCUCAUCAGAAGAAGCUCAAAUGGCCAAGAAACACUCAAUGACAUGCAAAACAUCCUUAGGCAUCAUGGGUGUGCAAAUCAAAAAGACUGUGAUUCCAUCUUACACUUGUCAGAAUGUUUAAGAUAAAAAAAUACAAGUGACAGCUUCUGCUGGAGAGGAUGUGGAGAAGGCAACAGUCUUCCACUGCUGAUGAAGGUGUAGCCACUUUGGAAGCCAGUGUGAUUGUUUCUCAUAAAACUGAGAAUCUAUCCAGCACAAUGCCCAGGUCUAACACUCCUGUGAAUAUACUGAAAGGAUGUUCAACCAUACCCCAAAGACACUUGCUCAACUAUGUUCUUAGAUGCAUUGUUUGAAAUAAGAAAAAAAUAACUAAAUAUCCUUCAGCUGAAGAAUGGCUAAAGAAUAUGUGGUACAUUUAUACAAUGGAGAAUUAUUCUGCUUUAAAAAAAGGACAGCAGAAUAUUUUAAGCCAAAUGGGUGGAUCUAGAAAUAGAUCAUCCUGAGUGAGGUAACCCAGACACAGAGAAAAAUGAAUUGGGAUAUUUUUGAUGACUGCUUCUAUUUCAUUAGGAGUUAUAGGCCAAAUAAAUUUGUUUUUCUAAUAUUGAUUUAACUUUUUAAAAUGGCACCUAUCGAGAAAACUAUACUUGUCUUUUAGAUUUUUCAUUUGCAUAGAGUACAUGUUUUUAAAGUAUGAAACAUGAUUCUCUGUAUUUCGUUCCUGUCUGUUAUUAUGUCCUGCCUUCAUUUUUGAUUUUGGUAAUUUUGUAUUCUCUCUGUGUCUUGCUUGUAGUUGGAUAAAAGUUGGUCUACCUUGUUGAUUGUGUCAAACCACAAAUCCUUGAAACUUUGAUUAAAUUUUAUUUAUAUCAGUCCUGGGUUUGAUUAUUUCCUGCCACAUAUUCCAUUUAGGUAUGCUUAUUUCUUUUGGUUGUAGAGCUUUCAGGUGUGACAUGAAAAGGCUAUUAUGCAUUUUCGCCAGUUUUGGUUUUCUUUCUUUUGGUUUGGGGUUCAUUUUUUUCCUUUUUUUUUCAAAUUUAGAUACUUAAUGCUGUGAAUUUUCCUCUUACCACCACUUUUAUUACGUCACAUAAGUUUGGGCAUGUUCCCAAUAUAUAUGGCUGGAUUUGUAGCUAAAAUUGCAACUACUGUAAUGAAUAGAUGUGGAGAGACUGAACAUAUUUUAGAGUAAUUUCCCAGCCCUGACCAUGUCACUCCAUCACCCAAGCUGCUCCUGGGCCCUGCACCCAACUCCAGAUGUCUUCCUCUAUUCAGAUGCAGGUCACACCAGUGAAAAGAACAGCCAGAAGAGCCUGGAGAGAUAGCUGAAGAUGCUAAAAGAACAUGGAUGCCAUCCCAGACUACAAUAACCAUCAAAACUUUUAAUAACAAAGGGACAUUAUUUCUCCAAUGAAAGCAAAAUUUUCAAUCAAUAAAUGGAAAAACAAGAUAUUUCAUGACAAAAUUCAAAUUUAAAAAAUAUCUAUCCAUAGUUCCUGCUCUGCAGAAAGUAUGAGAAAGAAAACUACUGUAGUGAUAUAUUAUUUGUAAUCUAAUAAUGCUUGCCUGGAGAUCAGAAUGCAAAGCUAUCCACAGCCAUAGAGGCCAGGCAUUGUGGUACACAGUUUUAAUUAAAGCAGAAUACAAGUUAGUCACAGAAGCUGGGUGAUGGUGGUACAAUCCUUUAAUACCAAUACUAGAGAGGUAUAUAAAACAGGAGCAGGGUCAGAGAGUGGGUAAUCAUUCUCCAGACAUAAUGAAGACAAGAUUGUCCCAGCCUUGAUAUGGGUAAGAACUUUCUGGUAGCUUGGCUGCUUUGCUUUUCUGAUACUGAUAAUCAUAUUGAACCUCAAUAUCUUUCUCUGUGUUUAUAUUAUUCAUGUUACAAUAUGUUUCCUUUCGCCCUAAUUAUGAUUUUAAAUAUUUUUGAGAAGUACUUUAAAGUAGAAAUAUUUUAACAGAGGCUGACACAUACUUUAUAAUUACUUUUGUCCCAUUAAAACAACUUAAAAAUUUAAUUAAUUCAUUAUAUUAUAAAGUAUUAUAAAACCAAAUAUGGGACAAAAUCUCUGUGAAUAUAAAAAGUUAAUCUGCUAUUAACUAAUUAAUAAAUCAGUCAGGAAAAUCACACAUUUUAGAAAUGAUGUAUGAAUAUUAUCAUUUUGAAAAUCUUAUACUAAAACUAUAAAAUUAAAAGUUAUACAUUCACCCUAGUGAUCUUCAUUCAAUAAUUUCAAAUUUUAAAAAUAAAUAAGACUGAUCACAUCAUAUUUGUCAAUGCAAAGAUUUAUUUUUUAAUCAAAUUGAAGUGAUGUAAAGGAAAAAAUUGACCAUGGCCAGUUACUGACAAUAUUCAAGCUAUAGCUUUUGCUUUGCAUAAUGCAGUUUAAGAGAUUGAAACUAUGUGGAAUGUUUUAAAUAAAGACAUAUCCCAUGAACAUCAGUGAACAGAUGUCCUUGUUGUAUGAUUGUGCUUUUUUUUGGGUAU